rnacentral:rRNA from 1 species
AGGGACAGAUAAGUCAUACAAAAAAUAAGGUUAGAGAUCAACACCUACUCACUUAAUUAGAAGGCUCUACACCUAUUCACUUGCUUAGUUUUAGCAUUAACUCUUAGUUGAAAAUCAAUAAAAAAACGAAGUGAAUUGAAAUAUCUUAUUAGCUUCAGGAAUAUAAAUCAAACGAGAUUCUACAAGUAGUGUGAAUGAAAGUAGAAAAGCCUUAAAGUAUAACGGAGUGCAUACCUGUUUGAACAAAAAUUUAGAGGGGAAUCUUCCUCUAAGGCUAAAUAUAAUAUAUAAGCGAUAGCGAUACAAAGUACCGUGAGGGAACAUCUUAAAAUAGUGGUUUUAUAAGCAGCUCAAGUAAAUUUUAAAUAAUAAGAGCGUACCUUUUGCAUAAUGGGUCAGCAAGUUAAUAUUAGAUGCGAGCAGUAAUGCGAAGAUAAACCAAUUGUGAGAGAAUGAUUUAGUAUCUAAAAUUAGACCCGAAGCCUAGUGAUCUUACCAUGAUCAGGAUUAUAAAAGUCCGAACGGGUUAUCGUUGUACAGAUAUCCGAAGAAUUGUGGUAAGUUAGUGAAAGACAAUACAGACUAGGAUAGCUGGUUUUCCGCGAAACCUAUAUUUGUAGGUAAUUUUAAUAACAUCAAAGCAGGUACAGAAUUGUGAUCUCAUGCAACUUUUAUAUUAAUUUAACAUUAAUAUAUUUUUUGUGGACAUUGGGGGAUCGUGAAGAUUUUAUCAGUGAGUAUUUGUUCUCGGAAGGGCUUAGAUGAAUAUUGAAUAAUCAGACAUAGUACGAUAAGGUUGUAUGUCUAAAGGGAAAGAGCCCAGAACAAGAGUUAAUAAGGUUCCAAAAUUAUUGUUAAGUGAAAUAAAGGUAGUUUUUGUCCUAACCGCUCAGGAAAUGGGCUUAGAAGCGGCCAUUUUUUAAAGACCUCGUAAUAGAGCACUGACUAUAGUUAAUCACUAAAUGGGAAAACAUGAUUUAGUUUUUAGUGGACAAAGGCAUCUAAAAUUUAACGGAUCUAAAUAAUAUACCGAUACCUUGUACAUAUAGAUACAUAUAAAACGAAACUUUGCCUAUUUGCCUAAACCUAUAUUCCUAUUUUCCUAUUUUACUGCACCUGUUUUCUUUUCGUAGGUUUUUGCUUAUUAUAUACUCAUGUUUUAUAAAUUUGCUUUUACUUGUAUAUAUCCAUAUACAUGUAUUUUGCACAUUUACUUUGGGUGUAUAUUUUGCACAUUUAAUUUAAUUAUUUCUUUUCAAAAUUUACUUAUUUGGUGGUUUCUUUUUCAGAUUUACUUUAGACAUUUUACACAUAUACUUUUGCCUUUGCUUUUGCCUUUGCUUUUGCCUUUGCUUUUGCUUUUACUUGUAGAUAUGUAUACAUAUCUACAAAUUUUUCUAUUUUUGCUAUUUUUUGUAGCUAUCUAAUUAUAUAGUCUAUAUGGGGUAGCGGAACGUUGGGUAAUUAUUAGAUUAUUUCUUUUUAAGAUUUAAAGAUAUGUAAAUCCCAAGUGAUAAUGCUGACAUGAGUAACGAUAAAGGAUAAUAUCCUCGCCUAAAGUUUAAGGAAGCUAAUUAUGUAACGGCCUCUAAGUUAUAGUUCUAACGUGCUAAACGAUGGAAAAAUCAUUGAGUAAUUAACAACUUUUGUUUUUUUUUUUGACUCAAACAACUUUAAAUAUAUAAAUCUCAAAAAUAUGGAAAUUAUGAUAGAUGUUUUGGAAAAAAAAAUGUAAAUUGUGACAAAUGUUCUGGAAAAAAAGGAUGCUCUGAUUUUUUUUUUCUUAAAUUUUUUUUUCCUAAGUUGUAAGAAAAAAGGAUUGUGCCUGAAUGGGAGGGCGAGAAAAAAAAAAAUAAUGACCGUGCCUAGAAUCUAACGCAAGUAAACUAGUAGAGAAUACGAAGGCGUUCGAGUGAACAAUCAUUAAGGAACUCGGCAAAUUGACUCACGUAACUUCGGGAGAAGGUGGGCCAUUCCUGCUUAUUUAUAAAGUUAGGAAGAGGAGGCACAGAAUGGUGUUGUACGACUGUUUAAUUAAAACACAACACACUGCAAAGACAAAAAUCGAAGUAUAGGGUGUGAUGUCUGCCCGAUGACGGCUGGUUAUCGGAUUUGCUUAGUUGAUUAAGUUAGGCUUUGAAGGAACCCCCGUUCAAUGGCAGCUUUACCUAUGAGGGUUCUAAGGUAGCGAAAUACCUUGGCCGUUAAAUGCGGUCUUGCAUGAAUGAUGUAACGAUACAGCAGCUGUCUCAAUGAUUGGCUCGGUGAAAUUGGAAUAACUGUGCAGAUACAGUUUACCUCUAGAUAGACGAGAAGACCCUAUGCAGCUUUACUGUUUCUAGUUAUUUGGUAUGAUAUAAGCAGUUUUAGUGUAUAAGGUAGUUGGUAAGAUAUAAUUGAAACACCUUUACUUGGUUUAUCAUAUUGUAUCACCUUAUCCAAAAAAGGCUGGAACAUUUGCUAGGUGGCAGUUUAUGCGGGGCACAGAUCCCAUAAAUAGUACCUGUCAAGUUUAAUGGCUUAAUCUUGCUUUACUGAUUGACUUACCGGUCUUUCAGUCGCGUAAGCGGGGCAUAUGAUCACAAGACGCUUAAAGAAAAGGUCUUGGAUUUUCGAAAAAGUUACGCUAGGGAUAACAGGCUAAUUGCGCCAGAGAGCUCAAAUUGAGUGCGCAGUUUGGCACCUCGAUGUCGGCUUAGCUUAUCCACAUGAAUGCAAGAGUCAUGCAGGGUGCGACUGUUCGUCGAUUAAAAAGCUACACGAGCUGGGUUAAAUACGUCGUGAGACAGUAUGGUUUCUAUCUUCUAGAGGCACUUAGAAUAAAAUAAGGAUAGCCCCCUAGUACGAAAGGAUCUGGGUAUGUUAAUCUAUGGUUUACCUGUUGUUUGUGUACCUAUAUUAAAGUAAUAUAACUUAGACGUUGUCUCUAUGAUUUAUAGUGGGGUUUACUUAUCACCAUAGUAAUGCUUAACACAGGCACGGCAGGAAAGCUAUGUUAAUUAAAGAUAAGAGCUGAAUGAAUAUAGGCAUGAAACUUACCUUAAGAUAUUCUUAUAAACACGUAGUUUAACACUACGAUUUUAAAUAACAUUUAUAAAAUAUAAUUAUGAAAAACAAACUUAUUUAAUUAAUAGGCUUAAGUUGAAGGAGUUGUGAGAUUCUUAGGCAUUAAGUACUAAUUUUUCAAUUU